rnacentral:rRNA from 1 species
UGGGGAAUCUUAGACAAUGGGGGCAACCCUGAUCUAGCCAUGCCGCGUGAGUGAUGAAGGCCUUAGGGUUGUAAAGCUCUUUCAGCUGGGAAGAUAAUGACGGUACCAGCAGAAGAAGCCCCGGCUAACUCCGUGCCAGCAGCCGCGGUAAUACGGGGGGGGCUAGCGUUGUUCGGAAUUACUGGGCGUAAAGGGCACGUAGGCGGACUGGAAAGUCAGAGGUGAAAUCCCAGGGCUUAACCUUGGAACUGCCUUUGAAACUAUCAGUCUGGAGUUCGAGAGAGGUGAGUGGAAUUCCGAGUGUAGAGGUGAAAUUCGUAGAUAUUCGGAGGAACACCAGUGGCGAAGGCGGCUCACUGGCUCGAUACUGACGCUGAGGUGCGAAAGCGUGGGUAGCAAACA